rfam:Bombyx mori DNA, contig: Bm_scaf61_contig29170, strain: p50T/Dazao, build 2, whole genome shotgun sequence.
GUAACCCAAAUUUGUAUGGAGUUGGAACGCUUGCCGACGUUUGCCUCUAAGGGCGCGGUUCCAACUGCACACAAAUUUGAGUUA